rnacentral:rRNA from 1 species
UACAGAGGUCUCAAGCGUUGUUCGGAUUCAUUGGGCGUAAAGGGUGUGUAGGUGGCGCCGUAAGUCGGGUGUGAAAUCUCCGGGCUUAACUCGGAAAGGUCAACUGAUACUGUGCGACUAGAGUGCGGAAGGGGCAACUGGAAUUCUUGGUGUAGCGGUGAAAUGCGUAGAUAUCAAGAGGAACACCUGCGGCGAAGGCGGGUUGCUGGGCCGACACUGACGCUGAGGCGCGAAAGCCAGGGGAGCGAACGGG